rnacentral:lncRNA from 1 species
AUGCUGAAAAUAAAGGGCAGCACGGCCGCUCACCCGGAUUUCCUCCCCAGACCUUCCAACUCCGGCUCAGGCAGCGGCGUGCGCGCGAGCCCAGCCCGUACCCGGAGCCCCAUCCAGCAGCCUCACCACGACGGGUGGCUGCGACAGAAAGGUGACGGAGAUGCAGAUUUCCAUUUUUUAAUUAAAUUUAUUACGCGUGCACGCGAUCUCGCAGCCCAACGCUCGCACCGGCCCCUCCCGCAGCAUCCCCCCCGGGGACGCUGCUGCGUCCCCGGGGGGGAUGCUGCGAGAGGGGCCGGUGCGGAGGAUGCUGCGAGAGGGGCUGGUGCUAAGGAUGCUCCGGCGGCCACCUGCAGGGCCCGACGGCCCCCCCCCCGCCUCCUCCAGCUCCGCGGCCGCGCCUCCGAAAGCCGCGGCCCCACCUCGGGGCGGAGCAGCAGCAGCAGCAGCCGCCGCCGGAGGAGCCGGAGCCGGGGCGCUGGGAGCUCGGCGGCCGGGCCCCGCUGCGCAUCGGGAAAGAGCUCACUGAAGAGGGAGAGAUUAUCUGAAACCAGAGCUAACGCAGCCAAAGCAAAAUGUUUUCAAUUCUUUGGGGAAGAACCUAGCUUUAAAUUUCGAGCUUUCCGUCAAGUGAGGAAUACAACUUACACCGAUGCACCUUCCCCACCAAAUUUACCUUUACCAGCGAUGGAACUUCCUUUGUGGCAGCCAGGUAAAGCGGUAUCUUCGCUUUAAGAAGGUAAUUGGGGCACAGAUUAAGUUACUUACUUUGCAUACAAGAAACCUGUGGGAAAGCCAAGAAUCUCUCCCCAAACUCCCAGUUUCUGAUGAGAUCUCUCACCCAGAAGACUUCUGUACCCUCUCUUCCCCACCAGCACGCCACGGCAGUCUGUAGGAGUUGUGUUCCCCGAGGGGUCUUGGCUGAAAUCUUUUAAUUUUUUUUUUCAAGUAACUUUCCUUGCCACUUUGACCUUCUUUCCUUUCGCUCAGUCGUGCUGCACGUGUGCUGCUCGAAAUGCUGUAGAAGCUGAGCGAGGGAAGGAGCUGUUUGCUUCUGAGAUACCAGCGAACUUGAGUCACGUGGCAGUGACUUUCCGAAUUUUCACUCCCCUGUGUGGUUAACCUGCGGGUGCUGUGGGGCUUGCAGCAGGGUGCAGGAAGAAUUGCAUGGUGCCUGCAAGAAUAAUUUGCAACCAGAAGCCACGGUCAGAGCUGUCAGUGUGGCACUGAGGGACGAGCAGAGUUUCACCGAUACCUUGUGCAGCGCAGAGCCAGAAAUAAUAGUCCCGAGGGGGCUCUCGCAGCGAGCUUGCAGCCCGCAGCCAGGCAGGUGACCUUGUUCUGCUUCCCCCUGCCUGUCUGUGCAGGCUCCUGACCCCCGCAGAAGGGUUUGCUGCUUUUUAUCUUGAAAGCACUGGCUCAGGUGUGCGUUAAUGGGUUGUUUGACGCGCUGCCUUGGGCUGCACUCGCGGUCUGUGCGUUAGCAGCUGCAGGUUUCUGCCUUCAGCUCUGCGGCCGGCCGUGCCGUCCUGGAGGAGGUGGCAGCUGGUGGCACCCUCGUCUCCUGGAGGUCCAGCUGAAGGUGAGGGUGCAACCUGCCUGCCACGGUGUGGGACUGGGGAGAUACACAUUUCAGUUUCAAGUAGGAGGGAAACACUUCAGGAGGCUGGGAAAUGCUGCGUUGCGGCCUUUCACCACGGGCAUUCUGGCAUCCUCCUCCCCUGGGGUUUCUAGGAAACGUGACUUUCCUGUGGCACUGUGGGGGGAAAUUGGUGUUUCGGGGCUGGGAUUCCUUGGAGGGGCAGGCACGUCUCUGUGCAAGCUCUGGGUGAUUUGAACUUCCCUUCCCAGUUGCCUCUGUGGCCUCUGGUGCCUGGUGCUCUGUCCUUUUGCAUUUGGCAGGCCCAGCAGCUGGGUCCUCUGUUCCAGGUGUGUGAGGUUGUGGAGGUUUGGGCAUUUGGGCAGUAACGCUUGGCAGUGUCCUUGUUAGCAAUGCUCUGAUGAAACAUUUGCCCAAAAGGCAAGAGGCGAGAGACACAGUGAUCUAAUAGUGAAAGAAACACGGUUCCAGGCUCUGGUUAUCGUAACACGACCCUCUUGUCUUCAUGCAUCCUGUGCUAAUUUAAAAAACAAACAAGAGCUUUUUAUCCAGAGGCAGUUCGCCGCUCCUGUCCUUAAGCCAGGAGAGGGGUUUGCUUUCUCGUCUUCCUGAACAUCUGGAAGUGGAUCUUCUUCCUGAAGAUCCCAGCAGUGACACCAGUUAGGAAAUGACUUGGAGCCUGUUGUGCAUGAGGGGGACGCUGCUGCCGUCCUUGGCGCAUGGCGUUGGGCGAACAGCAACCUCCAACUCGUCAAACCCGGACUGCGGGGAGGGACUGGACCUCAGCUCUUCAUGUCUGGAUGGCCCCACGCAAGCACAUCGGCUUUCCCUGCUCCUUGAGCAGCCCCCGCCUGCCUCCUGCCUUGUUUUUCCCCGGGGACAGUUGAGCUCCCGUGCCUGCCUUUUCCUGCCCAUCCCGCAGCCUGUCACCUCCCGCUCUUGGUGGCUUUCUGGCAUCUCUCUGGCCGUCUCCUCACCGUGUUGCUGUGCUGCCAGGGAGCUCGUCCCCGUGUUGGGGAGAAAACGAUGAAGAGCUGCUUUCUCCAGACCUCGGGGAGAUAGAUCCUUGCUGGUCACCCAGGCCGUGGUGUGGGUGUGUCUUGUAUCGAGGAGCGGUGACAGUGCUGAGGGUACUGCUGGAAAAAGGAGCCUGUGAAUUCAUCAGUGGUGCUCGUUGCUGGAGGAUGUGUUCAGAAGGACUGCAACAGGCUGGUCAUCCAGAAUAGCACAGAUGAGCCUGGGUCCUGCUGGGGAGGAGCAGGGGAAAGUUUGGAAACUCCUCGCCUUGCCAUGGUGCAGGAGUCGAUGCUAAGGAAAUAAAUGAGUUGGGCAGCCGCCUCUGCUGCA